rnacentral:rRNA from 1 species
UGAAAGACGGUCUUGCUGUCACUUAUAGAUGGAUCCGCGCUGCAUUAGCUAGUUGGUAAGGUAACGGCUUACCAAGGCAACGAUGCAUAGCCGACCUGAGAGGGUGAUCGGCCACACUGGAACUGAGACACGGUCCAGACUCCUACGGGAGGCAGCAGUAGGGAAUCUUCCGCAAUGGGCGAAAGCCUGACGGAGCAACGCCGCGUGAGUGAUGAAGGUCUUCGGAUCGUAAAACUCUGUUAUUAGGGAAGAACAUAUGUGUAAGUAACUGUGCACAUCUUGACGGUACCUAAUCAGAAAGCCACGGCUAACUACGUGCCAGCAGCCGCGGUAAUACGUAGGUGGCAAGCGUUAUCCGGAAUUAUUGGGCGUAAAGCGCGCGUAGGCGGUUUUUUAAGUCUGAUGUGAAAGCCCACGGCUCAACCGUGGAGGGUCAUUGGAAACUGGAAAACUUGAGUGCAGAAGAGGAAAGUGGAAUUCCAUGUGUAGCGGUGAAAUGCGCAGAGAUAUGGAGGAACACCAGUGGCGAAGGCGACUUUCUGGUCUGUAACUGACGCUGAUGUGCGAAAGCGUGGGGAUC